rnacentral:rRNA from 1 species
AUGAACGCUGGCGGCGUGCCUAAUACAUGCAAGUCGAACGGACUCUGAAUUUAUCUUUCUGAUAAAGGCAAUCUGAUGUCUGCAGUCAGACAGCUUUUUUCUCAUCGAAAAAACGCUAGUCUGUCUGCUAAUACAUCAGACUUAAGUAAGAGUUAGUGGCGGACGGGUGAGUACACGUUAGUACCUGCCCCAAAGUGGGGAAUAACUGCCCGAAAGGGUGGCUAAUACCGCAUGUGGUCCUUCGGGACUAAAGCCUUCGGGCGCUUUGGGAGGGGCUUUGCGUCUGAUUAGCUAGUUGGUAGGGUAAUGGCCUACCAAGGCGACGAUCAGUAGCUGGUUCGAGAGGAUGACCAGCCACACUGGGACUGAGAUACGGCCCAGACACCUACGGGAGGCAGCAGUAAGGAAUCUUCCGCAAUGGACGAAAGUCUGACGGAGCAACGCCGCGUGCAGGAUGACGGCCUUCGGGUUGUAAACUGCUUUUCUGAAGGAAGAUUAUGACGGUACUUCAGGAAUAAGGACCGGCUAACUACGUGCCAGCAGCCGCGGUAAUACGUAGGGUUCAAGCGUUAUCCGGAAUCACUGGGCGUAAAGCGUGCGUAGGCGGCAUGUUAAGUGCAAUACGAAUCCUGUGGCUCAAACCAUAUGGACUGUAUGCAUACUGGCAUGCUUGAGGAUAUGAGAGGCAAGUGGAAUUACUGGUGGUAGCAGUGAAAUGCGUAGAGAUCAGUAGGAACCACCAAUGGCGAAGGCAGCUUGCUGGCAUAUUUCUGACGCUAAGGCACGAAAGCGUGGGGAGCGAACAGGAUUAGAUACCCUGGUAGUCCACGCCGUAAACGAUGCACACUAUUCGUAUGAAGUAUCGACCCUUUGUGCGGAGAAGCUAACGCGUUUAAGUGUGCCGCCUGGGGAGUACGAUCGCAAGAUUAAAACUCAAAGGAAUUGACGGGGCUCCGCAAGCAGAGUGGAUCAUGUGGGUUUAAUACGAUGCUACGCGUAGAACCUUACCAUGGCUUGACAUCCCGGUCGUACGCCUAGGAAACUAGGCGGUCAGUUCGGCUGGACCAGUGACAGGUGUUGCAUGGCCGUCGUCAGCCUCGUGUCGUGAGAUGGUUGGGUUAAGUCCCGCAACGAGCGCAACCUUGUCGUGUGUUGUAUUUUUCACGCGAGACCGCCCGGGCCAACCGGAGGAAGGUGGGGAUGACGUCAGGUCAGCAUGGCCCUUACGCCUGGGGCUACACACGUGAUACAAUGGCCGGUACAACGGGUCGCGAAGCCGCGAGGUGGAGCUAAUCCUAUCAAAACCGGUCUCAGUAAUUCGGAUUGUAGGCUGCAACUCGCCUGCAUGAAGCUGGAAUUGCUAGUAAACGUGGGUCAGCACACCACGUUGAAUACGUUCCCGGAGCUUGUACACACCGCCCGUCCACACCACGAAAGUUGGGGGUGCCCGACGUGCCUACUUUGCUAGGCCUAAGGCAAAUCCAGUAAUUGGGGUG